rnacentral:rRNA from 1 species
CCUACGGGUGGCAGCAGUAGGGAAUUUUCGUCAAUGGGCGCAAGCCUGAACGAGCAAUGCCGCGUGAACGAGGAAGGUCUUCGGAUCGUAAAGUCCUUUUGAAGGGGAAAAAGAGCGGAGAGAGGAAAUGCUUUCUGAUUGAUAUUACCCUUCGAGGAAGUCACGGCUAACUACGGGCCAGCAGCCGCGUUAAUACGUAGGUGGCGAUCGUUAUCCGGAAUGAUUGGGCGGAAAGGGUGCGGAGGCUGCCUGCUAAGUCUGGAGUGAAAGGUACCGGCCGAACCGGUGCAGGCUCUGGGAAAUGGGGGGCUAGAGGGGAGCAGAGGGAGGUGGAAAUCCAUGUGUAGCGGUAAAAUGCGU